rnacentral:rRNA from 1 species
GAUGAACGCUGGCGGCGUGCCUAAUACAUGCAAGUCGAGCGAACAGAUGAGAAGCUUGCUGCUUUGCUGACGAGUGGCGGACGGGUGAGUAAUGUCUGGGAAACUGCCUGAUGGAGGGGGAUAACUACUGGAAACGGUAGCUAAUACCGCAUAACGUCGCAAGACCAAAGAGGGGGACCUUCGGGCCUCUUGCCAUCGGAUGUGCCCAGAUGGGAUUAGCUAGUAGGUGGGGUAACGGCUCACCUAGGCGACGAUCCCUAGCUGGUCUGAGAGGGUGACCAGCAACACUGGAACUGAGACACGGUCCAGACUCCUACGGGAGGCAGCAGGGGGGAAUAUAGCACAAUGGGCGCAAGCCUGAUGCAGCCAUGCCGCGUGUAUGAAGAAGGCCUUCGGGUUGUAAAGUACUUUCAGCGGGGAGGAAGGUGUUGAGGUUGAUAACCUCAGCAAUUGACGUUACCCGCAGAAGAAGCACCGGCUAACUCCGUGCCAGCAGCCGCCGUAA